AACAUGAGCUGGAGCGCUCCCAUCACAUGGCACUCCCAGAUCAGGGCCAGACUCACCGCUGCCUCAUCAGAAGGGUGCUGCCUUGUGGCUACUGGGACUGUUAAAGGCUCUUCUAGUUUAGAGACAGAUACUCUUCUCUACUGGACAAAGCAUGGAUCUGCCCUGCUCCUCCCCCAGGAGUGGGAUUGAUAUUUGAAGUUCAGAGAUAAGAAGCUUCUCUUCUAAUUCUACUUUAUUGCUUUGAUAUUUUUUUCCUUGACUUAAGAUUCUCUCUCUGAUGCUUCCUCUUGGAACAGAGGUGACCAAGCUCUCAAGGCAAUGCCAGCAGAACACAAGGUCUGGCAAGGUCUGGAAGGACCUCAAGUUCCACUCUGGUCAUGGAUUGUGCAUCUGUCACCUUAAGACCAGCACAGUGUUCAUCUGCUGACAAGCCUGCUAACAGAUCAAAGGCCAGCAUGUACAUUUGAGCCAGCGAUGGAAGACCUCUGUGCUCUUCCCAACAAAAGCAGUGUAGGCUGAUCUCCCUCCUGGCAGAAAAGGUGAAGGGCAUGGAGGAACACGUCUUUUACACUCCAGCUUUUGGGGAAGAUGGAAUAUUCCCUAAGGAAAGGGCUUCAAUGAGGAACAGAGAUCUGAUGUGGAAGAGGGAAGAUCUAAGCCUUGUCAGGAUGUUAGAGAGUAGA